rnacentral:misc_RNA from 1 species
UUUCCGUAGGUGAACCUGCGGAAGGAUCAUUAUUGUAUACCCGAGGUGCGAGGGCUGUCGCUGAUACGAAAGGUCGUGCACGCCCUUGAGCCCUCGCACCCAUCCCUCUCCCCCCUUUUUGCCCCCCCGCGGGGGUCACCCUUUGGCUUGUUCGGAGGGGGUCUUACGAUUUCACACAUACUUUGUAUGCAGUGUAUAAUGUAUUUUUUGUUUUUGCGAUCACGCAUUAAAUACAACUUUCAACAACGGAUCUCUUGGCUCUC